AACGAACGCUGGCGGCAGGCUUAACACAUGCAAGUCGAACGAGCUGGGGGCGUCGGUCUCCGAUGCUAGUGGCGCACGGGUGAGUAACACGUGGGAAUAUGCCCUUUAGUACGGAAUAACCAAGUGAAAAUUUGGCUAAUACUGCAUACGCCCUUCGGGGGAAAGAUUUAUGGCUAAGGGAUUGGCCCGCGUCUGGUUAGGUAGUUGGUGAGGGUAUGGCUGACCAAGGCGACGAUGAGUAGCUGGGCUGAGAAGAUGACCAGCCACACUGGGACUGAGACACGGCCCAGACUCCUACGGAAGGGAGCAGUGGGGAAUAUUGGACACUGGGGGCAGAUGUGAUAAAGCCGUGCCGGGUAAGUGGAGAAGGCCGUCGGGUUGUAAAGCUCUUUGGACGGGGACGAUGAUGACGGUACCCGUAUAAGAAGCCCCGGCAAACUUCGUG
rnacentral:rRNA from 1 species